UACGUAGGGGGCAAGCGUUGUCCGGAAUCAUUGGGCGUAAAGAGCGUGUAGGCGGCCCGGUAAGUCCGCUGUGAAAGUCGGGGGCUCAACCCUCGAAUGCCGGUGGAUACUGUCGGGCUAGAGUGCGGAAGAGGCGAGUGGAAUUCCUGGUGUAGCGGUGAAAUGCGCAGAUAUCAGGAGGAACACCGAUUGCGAAGGCAGCUCGCUGGGACGGUACUGACGCUGAGACGCGAAAGCGUGGGGAGCAAACAGG
rnacentral:rRNA from 1 species